UUUGCUGAAAAGUUAGAGAUACGUAUUUUUCUUUGAAUUUGACAAAUUAAAAACUAUGGUGCGUUUAGAAGCUUAAUUUGAUGUAUAAAUGUGAGAAAACUAUCACGCUUAACUGAAAGUAAAUAUUAAUUCAUUCAUAGCAUGGUGUUUUCUUCAAGAUAAGUAAUUAUAAACUUUUGAUAUGGACGGUUGAUAUUCAAUAAUUGAUUUACUCUUGGAAAAUUAAACUUUACAAAUUGGCCAUCGUCAUAUUAAUUUGUAUGACAAUAAUUUAGUAUGUACCAUUGAUAAUUCCUAAUUUGGAGCUAUUUCAACCAUUACAUGAA
rnacentral:lncRNA from 1 species